rnacentral:sRNA from 1 species
UGCCUUGUGUCCGGGCUGACCGCAGCGA